UACGUAGGGCGCAAGCGUUAUCCGGAAUUAUUGGGCGUAAAGAGCUCGUAGGCGGUUUGUCGCGUCUGCCGUGAAAGUCCGGGGCUCAACUCCGGAUCUGCGGUGGUACGGGCAGACUAGAGUGAUGUAGGGGAGACUGGAAUUCCUGGUGUAGCGGUGAAAUGCGCAGAUAUCAGGAGGAACACCGAUGGCGAAGGCAGGUCUCUGGGCA
rnacentral:rRNA from 1 species